rnacentral:lncRNA from 1 species
GCCGCCUGGACGCCGUGGACAUUCCGGCGACCGCCCGGGGGUCGGAGGGGUCUGUCGUGAAGUGACCUGCCAGGCUAUAGCGAUUGCGGAGCGUGGGCUCGGCCCUAGCAGGAGCCGGAGGGCUGGCUGCAGUUCUCCUGUAACCGCGCUGUGGUCUAGAAAAGAGCCUAAAGCGCUCUGCUGGUUGCUGCUGCUUUUGCUCUUCUAUCCUUCAGUAUGUUUUCUUCUUGAGCAUCCCGCCCCUGUGCUCCAGCUCUGUGUGAGAAGCUUCUGUCCACGGCGGCUGGAAGGCAAUCUAGAUAACCCAUGGAGAUUCAGUCCAUGGAGACAAGUACGUACAGGCUGCUGUACAUCAAGUAAGCUGGCUGCCUUGCAUUUCAAGCUGACACCCGGCAGGACAGGUG